GUGUUAAGGCAAAAGUUUAUCCUAAUUUAUUUGAGAUAAAUAUGCCCCCAUUUCCUACAACCAAUUGGACUGACGCAAUCAGGUGCAUAUAUAAAGAACGGAGGUAUGUCUGACAAACCUCAUUAGUCAACUUUCUACGAAUCCUGGUCAACAUGGUGUUGCGAAUAUUUUGUUUUUUCGCCGUGCUCUACUCUGCGCACGGCUUCCUGCAGGAGUUGACCUUCUACACAGAACCUGACGCGGGAGGGAAUGCGUUCGUGUUCCGAACUAAAGAGCCUGAUCUUACGCCACACUACUCGAAAUUGUUAAAUGGUGUAAAGUCAGUUUGCCAUAGAGGACGAUGGGGAGGGUUUAGUGAAAAAAAUUACACUAAUUUGUGGACGAUAUCCGUUCUACAUCUUCUGUUCGGUAUCUGCUGAUGGGACUUUGCUUUGCCGUAAUCAAACACUUUUCCGAACAAUGAAGUCUUUGAGGUAUCUUGGACCAUUGGACACAACAAUACCUUCCAUUUCCAUUUAUAGCGGGACUGAUUCUGACCUUGCUGGUGGGAUCGAACGCACUUUUACUGGUUUAGCAGCCAAUGAUUUUGGUUUCCUUCCUGCUUGGAUGCUACUGACAGGAAGGUCAAGUUGGACUGGCUUUUCUAGCCCUGAUUUUUCUGGCAACUCGACGUGUUUCUCAACCUCAGAGCUAAUGGGAGGGGCCCAGGUAGAUGGUAACCCGAUGAGGUCAUUAAUCAAAGGAUGUAACUCCAAAUAUAGGAGUGAUUAUUGGAAUGUAGAUAAGCUUACAUAGAAGGAAUAAUGCGCGUGUGUAUUUCACGCAUAUUUAUUGUACAAGUUUAAAAAAAUAACCUGAUAAACGAAAUGCUUUGGUGAAUAGAUGAAUUGCAACGAAAAGUUAAAAAUAAAAUUAUUUAAAUG